UACGGGGGGGGCAAGCGUUGUUCGGAAUUACUGGGCGUAAAGGGCUCGUAGGCGGCCAACUAAGUCGGACGUGAAAUCCCUCGGCUUAACCGGGGAACUGCGUCCGAUACUGGAUGGCUUGAGUUCGGGAGAGGGAUGCGGAAUUCCAGGUGUAGCGGUGAAAUGCGUAGAUAUCUGGAGGAACACCGGUGGCGAAGGCGGCAUCCUGGACCGAUACUGACGCUGAUGAGCGAAAGCCAGGGGAGCAAAACGGGG
rnacentral:rRNA from 1 species